GGCAGACACUAUCUAGUUUGCAAUAUCUAUGAUGAGCACUACAUAUAACUUAUUUUUCUUUCACUGCUCUCUUUUUUCUGUUCUUUUUUCUACUUUCUGUUUGGUAUAUGUAGUGCAGUAAUACCAUAAUGUCACAAGUUCCAGUGGCUAAUUAACACAUAUGUUUAUAUUCAGCAUGUUGAACUAGCGUAGAAUUUAGCACCUACUUUAUUUGAUCAGCAUGUCUAGAUUAAUGUGUUGCAAGUUCACCUGGCAGGUAUAGGAACAUUUCUAACUGACUACAUUGCUAUGGUUCAACUAACAUCACUCAUUCCUGAACCUCUCUCCUGAUAUACAUCUAACUUAUUGUACCUACCAGCUAAACAUGCCUGCUUAGCCUGUUAUUUGUGUUAUUAUUAUUUACAUAAAAACUAUGCAGACUCAAUAAAUGCCAUGCUAAUGUAAAACUAUGCAUAUUAUGGAAAUGCUUGUUCUCACUAUUGUGGCACUGCAAGCAGGAUUAUAAUUUAUCGCACAGCAAAAAUAAAG